AGGCCAUAUCACGUUCAAAACACCGGUUCCCGUAUGAUCAUCGAAGUUAAGCAUCAACGAACCCGGUCAGUAAUUAGGUGGGUGACCUUGGGUAUACCAAUUGUUGUAA